GGGCCCGCACAAGCGGUGGAGUAUGUGGUUUAAUUCGAUGCAACGCGAAGAACCUUACCAGGGUUUGACAUCCUGCGAAUCUCUUGGAAACGAGAGAGUGCCUUCGGGAACGCAGUGACAGGUGGUGCAUGGCUGUCGUCAGCUCGUGUCGUGAGAUGUUGGGUUAAGUCCCGCAACGAGCGCAACCCACGUCGUUAGUUGCCAGCAUUUAGUUGGGCACUCUAGCGAGACCGCCGGUGAUAAACCGGAGGAAGGUGUGGAUGACGUCAAGUCAUCAUGCCCCUUACAUCCUGGGCUACACACGUACUACAAUGCUACGGACAAAGGGCAGCAAACUCGCGAGAGCUAGCAAAUCCGACAAACCUAGUCGUAGUCCGGAUCGGAGUCUGCAACUCGACUCCGUG
rnacentral:rRNA from 1 species